UACGGAGGGGGCUAGCGUUGUUCGGAAUUACUGGGCGUAAAGCGCGCGUAGGCGGACCUGCAAGUCGGGGGUGAAAGCCCGAGGCUCAACCUCGGAACUGCCUUCGAUACUGCGGGUCUCGAGUCCGGGAGAGGUGAGUGGAAUUCCUAGUGUAGAGGUGAAAUUCGUAGAUAUUAGGAAGAACACCAGUGGCGAAGGCGGCUCACUGGCCCGGUACUGACGCUGAGGCACGAAAGCGUGGGGAGCAAACAGG
rnacentral:rRNA from 1 species